CGUCACAUCACCGUAUCGAAUUUCGUAAUAAUAAAAGCUGCGAAAAUUUAUUGUGGAUUUUAUUUAUUUUUCACGUUUUAAAUAUGGCGUUCGUUGGUUUGAAGUUUCUUCUAGUUCUUAUCGUCGCAGCAUUUGCGACUGCUCAAGUUCAGAGUCAGCAAAGAUUGCGAUCAUCAGAAUGCACCAGGCUUGGAGGGACGUGCGAACCUCUACUCCAAUUUAGUCACUGCAAAUCCGGUGAAAGCUUACCAUAUAGCUGUACCCUUUAUGGACUCAGAUGUUGCAAACGUAAAAACGAAUGCGAAGAAAAUGGUGGAGUGUGUGAACCUUUUUACUUCGGCUCACAAUGUAAGUCUGGUAUCGGGUUGAACUACAGUUGUAAUAGGACAGGAGCUAUGUGCUGUGCCCCUUCAAUGUAACAACGACUAUGUAUUAUGAUACAGAAACCUUGUAUAAUACGCUAUGUAUUGCAUAAAUAAAAUCACUAUAAAACGAA